rnacentral:rRNA from 1 species
CAGCCGCCGCGGUAAAACAGAGGGUGCGAGCGUUAAUCGGAUUUACUGGGCGUAAAGCGUGCGUAGGCGGCUUCUUAAGUCGGAUGUGAAAUCCCUGAGCUUAACUUAGGAAUUGCAUUCGAUACUGGGAAGCUAGAGUAUGGGAGAGGAUGGUAGAAUUCCAGGUGUAGCGGUGAAAUGCGUAGAGAUCUGGAGGAAUACCGAUGGCGAAGGCAGCCAUCUGGCCUAAUACUGACGCUGAGGUACGAAAGCAUGGGGAGCAAACAGGAUUAGAUACCCGAGUAGUCCCUGUCUCUUAUAA